GACGAACGCUGGCGGCGUGCCUAAUACAUGCAAGUAGAACGCUGAAGGAGGAGCUUGCUCUUCUGGAUGAGUUGCGAAAGGGUGAGUAACGCGUAGGUAACCUGCCUGGUAGCGGGGGAUAACUAUUGGAAACGAUAGCUAAUACCGCAUAAGAGUAGAUGUUGCAUGACAUUUACUUAAAAGGUGCAAUUGCAUCACUACCGGAUGGACCUGCGUUGUAUUAGCUAGUUGGUGGGGUAACGGCUUACCAAGGCGACGAUACAUAGCCGACCUGAGAGGGUGAUCGGCCACACUGGGACUGAGACACGGCCCAGACUCCUACGGGAGGCAGCAGUAGGGAAUCUUCGGCAAUGGACGGAAGUCUGACCGAGCAACGCCGCGUGAGUGAAGAAGGUUUUCGGAUCGUAAAGCUCUGUUGUAAGAGAAGAACGAGUGUGAGAGUGGAAAGUUCACACUGUGACGGUAUCUUAACAGAAAGGGACGGCUAACUACGUG
rnacentral:rRNA from 1 species